ensembl:lncRNA
GGCAAGGAAUGCCAGAUAUUUGCAGCUGGAUAUUUUCAGUGGGUGAGAUCCAGGCAAAACUGCUAAAGGAGAGAAAUAUUACAGCAUUCAGAGCAUGCUUUGGAAAAGAAGCAAUUGCUUGUGUCAAAAGAAUUUAGAAGUAUAAUCAGCUAUUGUUUGCAACUGCUUAGCUAAAAUGAGGCCCUCUCAAAAAAAAAUUUUUUUUAAACCUAGGUAACUAUUGUAUGCCAGGUAAUUGUAGCUAUUUAAAAGUUAAUGGCAAAAAAAAAAAAAAGUUAAGAAAAGGGAAGGCAACUGAAGGGGUUCAGUGGGUGAUCAAAAUUGGAAUCUAAGAUGCUUUUCCUAAAGAGACACCUCAACCUGAAUGUGAUGUGAAGCUUCCAGAAAUGGUUGCCUCUGAGAGAGGCAAGGCUGAGGGAUUAGGCCUCUGGUUGGAAUCAAGAUUUCUGCAAAUCAUUGAAGAAAGAUCAAAGGCAUUUUCUGUUUUAGUUCCAUCGAUCUGGAGUCUCCAGGCCCUGCCUGGAAGGAGAAACUAGCAGCCAGCCUCCUCAGCAUCAGGAGCUUCCCUGGUGGCUCAGCUGGUAAAGAAUCUGCCUGCAAUGUGAGAGACCUGGGUUCAAUCCCUGGGUUGGGAAGAUCCCCUGGAGAAGGGAUAGGGUACCCACUCCAGUAUUCUGGCCUGGAGAAUUUCAUGGAUUGUGUAGUCCAUGGGGUCACAAAGAGCCCUACAUGAUCGAGCAACUUUCACUUUCAUCCUCAGCAUCAUUUUGCUUGUUUUCACACCAGCACAAGAAAGUUUAAGUCAGGGCAGGAAAAACGCAGGGGUUUGUGUGCUGGGUCCAUAAAGGUAGCUGGGAAGGACCUGGAUUCCGGCUUCCUGUUCAGACAGGGUGUCCAUCCAGUCCUCCGCCUUUUCAGGGGUCACACAUCUUCCCCUUUCGGCAAAGUGUGCUUGCACCGCUGACCUUCUCCAGUCUGUUUGCUCCAGACCCUGCAGUGGCCGCUCCACACACCACGGAGGACAUUCUGAAGACCUGGCCAGCACCCAGAGCCCUCCUCAGUGACCGUGACCCCAUUUACUCGGACUGCGCUUCCGGGGCUGAAACCAGGGUGGGACCAACGCAAGACGUAAAAGGGCGCCAGGUGACUGGGGAACUAAGUACUGAUUUUUUCAAAAAUAAAAAAAUGAUGCAAAAAGUCCACGAUGAGCAAAAUACCAAAACUUCACAUAAAGAUGAAAAUGUCAAAUUUCACCUGCACUUUCCGCGCUCGCCUCACUCCUCACGGCCUGCUCCGUGUCUCCCUCCGCUCCCCUCCUCCAGCUCUUCUCUCAGUCUGCUGGGCUUUUUCAUAGCAGGUGGUUCAGAUGAUAAAGCUUCUGCCUGCAAUGCGGAAGACCUGGGUUUGAUCCCUGGGUCAGGAAGAUCCCCUGAAGGAGGAAAUGGCAACCCACUCGAGUAUUCUUGCCUAGAGAAUCCCAUGGACAGAGGAACCUGGCGGGCUACAGUCCAUGGGGUCACAAAGAGUUGGACACGACUAAGUGACUAACGCUUUCACUUUCAUCACCAUCUGAUGUUCCAUUCAGUUUAUUUCUCUCCAGUUAUUGCACUAGAAUCUAAGCUUCAUAAGAGCAGGGCCUGAUGUCUGUUUGUUCAUGGCCGAGU